ACGGAGGGUGCAAGCGUUGUUCGGAAUUACUGGGCGUAAAGCGCGUGUAGGCGGCCAAGUAAGUCGAAUGUGAAAGCCCUCGGCUCAACCGAGGAAGUGCAUCCGAUACUGCUUGGCUUGAGUCCCGGAGAGGGAUGUGGAAUUCCCGGUGUAGAGGUGAAAUUCGUAGAUAUCGGGAGGAACAUCAGUGGCGAAGGCGACAUCCUGGACGGUGACUGACGCUAAGACGCGAAAGCGUGGGUAGCAAACAG
rnacentral:rRNA from 1 species